UACAGAAUCCCCGAAUGUUACCCGGAUUUAUUGGGCGUAAAGGGUGUGUAGGUGGUUUGGUAAGUUCUAAAUUAAACUUCAUCGGCUUAACCUUUGAACUGUUUAGAAUACUGCCAGACUAAGAGGGCGUUAGAGGUGAACGGAACCGACGGAGUAGGGGUGAAAUCCGUUGAUAUCGUCGGGAACACCAAAAGCGAAGGCAGUUCACUGGGGCGGCCCUGACACUGAAACACGAAAGCGUGGGGAGCAAAAAGG
rnacentral:rRNA from 1 species